rnacentral:rRNA from 1 species
GAUGAACGCUAGCGGCAGGCUUAAUACAUGCAAGUCGAGGGGUAACAGGUCUGUAGCAAUACAGAUGCUGACGACCGGCAAACGGGUGCGGAACACGUACAGAACCUUCCUUCGAGUGGGAGAUAGCCCAGGGAAACUUGGAGUAAUAUCCCAUAGGAUCAUAGAGUGGCAUCACUUAGUGAUUAAAGAUUUAUCGCUUGAAGAUGGCUGUGCGGCUGAUUAGGUAGUUGGUACAGGUAACGGCUCACCAAGCCUUCGAUAAGUAACUGGUGGGGGAGCGCGACCAGGCACACGGGCACUGAGACACGGGCCCGACUCCUACGGGAGGCAGCAGUAAGGAAGAUUGGGCAAUGGAGGCAACUCUGACCCAGCCAUGCCGCGUGGAGGAUGAAGGUCCUCUGGAUUGUAAACUUCUUUUAUUUGGGAAGAAAUGCCGAUUUUCUAAUUGGUUUGACGGUACCAGAUGAAUAAGCACCGGCUAACUCCGUGCCAGCAGCCGCCGUAAAAC